UAUUGUUCGGUAUGAUUGAAAGCUCGGGAACAGCUGGAAUGGUUCUAUUCUAUUGGAUUCUAUUCUAUUCUGUUUGUUUUCCUGACCUGUAGCGGGCCCAGGGGAAGGUGAGACAAUGGCAGGCUGGCAGUAAACUUGUUCCUGGAGUUGUCUAUCUGUCACCACCCUGGAGGGGCCACAGAGAUGCUGUCAGUCUGCACAUGAUCAUCUGACUUGCAGACAGAUGUGUGUGUGUGUACGUGGGUGUGUGUAUGACUGUGUGUGGCGAUGUUUUUCUGUGUGGGUACGACUGCCUGUCUCCGCCUCUGCUCUGUUGCCGAGAAUGCUCUUGUUGACUUCUCACUGGGUAAACAGAGGGAUCGUAAAUCCACAACACAAAAGGUAGAAGGCAGCGAGGAGAGAGGAGGAGGAGAGGGAAAAUGAACUUCCCCUGGCAAGUUUCCCACAUCGUCAGAAAAGCGGCAGACGGUGUAAAGGUGCUGGUUCUACAUGCUAUCCGGUUGUCUCGCCUGAACUUAAGAACGUAAGUAGAUCGUCACCUUUUAAAGUGAGACAACACCAGGAGGAAGACAUUUAGUAAGGAGAAGGGGUAGCAGGAGAAAAUGAGACCGAAAUGAGGAGAAAGAAAAUAAGGGUGAAACAAAGCUGGGAAAAGCAGCGUGUACAAAAUCUAUUUAGUUUUAUCCCAGUUUGCCCCUCCCUUCCCCAAGAUGCAGAUAACAUGAAUAAUUUUGCGACUUUGUUGGGAAAACUUUCUAAAGUGUGGCAAGGCAGACUGGAGAUGAUAAAUUAUUCAAAUGUUUCAUCGGAGCCAUGCCGCUUGCGUAGGGCAGGCCUCUAUAAUAUGCAUGUAAGAAGACAUGAUGAAACAACUCCAUAAACAGUAGAGAGUGAGAGAGUGUUUGGGGAGCGAGGGGCGGGAGGAAGGGGUGAUGCAGAGACAAGUGACUUUGACUCUGACUCUGUGCAAGGCAUUCACGCGCUAGGCCUCUAUAAUAUAUACAUCUAAGGACACUUGAUGAAAUGGCUUUGUGGGAUGUGGGAAAGGGUUGGGCGCAGAAAAAGGGUUGCAGAUUAAGCGGGAGAUAAGGACGACAGAGAGGAAAACAGUGGAGUUAAAGAAUGAUGCACGAAAAGGGGAAAUUGAUAUUCCUGCCAUUGUGAAUAGUACGUGUUUGCGUGAGAGACGGGGAGAGAAGGGUAUUUGCAGUAAGGCAGUCCACUUUCUUCUCAAGUAUCAAGGGAGGAAAAAUGUGCAUUUCAAAAAGAUCAUUUUCUGCUGCCUGAUGUGAUGGAAUGCAUGGGAGUAAACCUUUAUACUAUCUGUUGGCCCAAGGUGAACUAAACUUGGCUUUUGUUUUUAUUUCUUCCCCGUGAUGUUUAAAUUCGUAUGCUUAAAGCAAACCUCAUGUGAUAUACAGGGCUAGGCUAGAUGUUUAAAUUUUUUGAUACAGGGG